rnacentral:rRNA from 1 species
CAUCUCAGGGGAGUCGAAGCAGUCGAGGGGGGUGGUCUAUAAAAGGGGUGAGGACGUGAGGGGGGUGUAGAUGGGCUGCGGAGGUAGCAGCAGCGGAAGCAGCUAGGGCGCCGGUGGUAGCAGGGGCGCGGUAUUCUGGCUCAGGCUCCCGUGGCGGCAGCUGACGAGGUAGGAGGAGCGGGUGACCUAGUACCUCCCUGGGGGACGUCGCUCGUGACGCUAGAGAAGAAGUGGAAGCCGAGACUGCUCGAAGAGGCUGCUAACGGCAGCGAGAUGACGAGGAUUCGUUUGUGGCUCGGAGGUACACGAGGAGACUACCACCUAGGAACCUCGGUCUACGGUGGCGGCUACCUACGAUGAUGCACCUCCGGCAGCUGCUGGUCCUCAUCAAUCCUCCAGGGUCCGUCCUCCGGAACGGAGAAGCUAGCACAACGAAAACACGAUCGGAAGAAUUCCGUGGGAACAAAUUGAAUACAGACAUGAGUCUAUAACAACGAAGGUGACUGAGAACACAAAGGUCGAUACAUAAGCUCGGGAGCUCCGGGGACCGAACAUUAUAUUUCGAACAUAAUAAAACAAACACAGAUCUCAACACAACACUAUAG